rnacentral:lncRNA from 1 species
CCCCUGGCUCAGACAAGGGAGGUGGUGGACUGGCCAUGGCAGCUGUCCAGACUUGAUAUCACCCUGAACGUCCCCAAACCUCCCUCCCUCCACUCUUGCUUCGCCCUGACCAGAGAUGGAGGGUGGUGCUGGGAAUAGGAGGUAGGUGAGUGCCUGUCCUGGCCAACAGCAGAGGCCCUCGAGGGAAACUGCACCGCAGGUGUCACUCUAGAGCCCACAGCGGGGGCUGUCAACCUGGAGUGUGCAGCAGAAUCGCCUACAGCCCUCUGGCCCAGCCCCAGUGACUCUGGGUGAGUGGGUCUGGGGUGCAUUUCAAACAAGUUUCCAGGCGCUGCUGCCGCCAGUCCUAUCUGGAGACGACUCUCUGAGAAGCACAAGGUGGCCAGAGGGACAGGAGUGUCCUCAGACCGCCUCUCCCAGAGAGUGGGCCUCCUCAGUCCGCACCCCAGACAGGAUAUGCCAGCCUUGAAGCCUCUGUGGACAUCUCCAUGCUCAGGGGCGAUGCCCGGCCUCUGCCAACCACGCCAGCUUAGAUGAAGUCCAGGCACCUCCCUCAGUUCACCGUGUGCCCCUGAGCGAGUCUCUCGCCCACUCUGAGCCUCAGUUUCCUUAUCUGCACAGUGAGGAGGGGAGCAAGGCCACGUGCAGCUAUUUGAGCAGGCUGGACUGUAAUGGUGCAAUCUUGGCUCACCGCAACCUCCACAUCCCGGGUUCAAGUGAUUCUCCUGUGUCAGCCUCCAGAGUAGCUGGGAUUGCAGGUAUG